UUCCUCUGCUCCUCUCAGGCUGCCCUGGCAGGGACGCCCCAAGAGUAUUUAUUUCUAGGGUUGGAAACAAAACAACCAACCCCGUCUACUGCGUAAGAGAGCGUUCCAAGAUGGACUGCCGGAGAAAGGCUUUUUGACCCCUGUGGAAAUUAGUCAUAUUGACAGACGCCCAGGGAAGGUAAAUUACCCCGCGCGCUGACGUUACGCAGAGGCGCACCGGGUUCCGACUCCACCGCGGCGCCGAGGGGGCCAGAGGCUCCCAGUUCUUCCCCGCAUAGUUCGACAAAGCCCUACUUUGCUUCCCUGGGUCUGGGAUCUCAACGUGAAGGGGGCCGAGAGAGCGGUGAUAAGGUGCUAGAAAGGAAACGGCAAGAGGAAACUAAAAAAGUGGAGAGAAAUUUUGUGCGCCGUAGUGCUUAGCAAGCUGGGGAAACGAGGAGAAAACGAGCAAAGUCUACAGGGGAGGGAGAGAGGGAGGAGGCAGGGAAGGAGAGGACCACGAGGCUCCCGGCGCCCAGGCCGCCACUUGGGAGGUCCCGGCCCCAAAGCAGGCCGGGCCAACCGUCCCCCCGGGAGGCUCGGGGCUCGGGCGGGGUCACAAUUACACCUCGGCUCCAGGCGAGGACUUAAAAACCAAGUGGUGGGGACUGCAGUCUGGAAGCAAGGCCCUGCGGUCAUCGGAGGGGGGCCAGGCCCGUGCACAGGAACCUUUUACAAGAUGGUGUCCCAGGACUGCAAGUAACUGCGUACAUCCACACAGCGCAUUACACCAACCUGAGAAGAAUCCUUGCGUGACCGGAUUGUUUCUGAACCUGCCGAGCCCCUGCUGCAUCUGGGACCCGCCUUCACCGUUUCCCAAUCCCAGCGGUUAGCCCCUGCGCCCCCUUUUUGGUCUCCACUUUGCCGUUCGAAAAUGCCUAGGUUGGUGGAUCGACCCUCCGCGGAGCAAAGACGGAUGGCUGGCAGGAGCAGGUUCAGGAGCUGGGCCAAGUUUCACACGAAGAGACUUGGAGUAUCUGGAGAAGGUUUUUGAAGACGUUUAGGAGGGAGGGUGAGUUUUCUGCUGAGAAACUCAAUCUGCCAUACAGUAGCGGCCCCAUCUGGGAUCUGUCACUGCUGACAGCACCAGAGGGCACAGCCGUGAUCUUCUGCACAGCCUGCACUCCCCGAAAUACCCUCCUUAAUCAAAGGAUGUCUGCGCGCCUGAGCUCAGCUGACCGCGCCGGGAGCACCAGGGCCGUUGGAUUCCACCCCAGCCCGCCCCCUCCCCACGCACACAGCCACGGCCCCUCGCGUCUUCGCGGCACGUUAAUUAAAUGCGGAAAACAGACAGAGGCUGAUGUCAUUGCUCUCACAAGAUCAUAAACGUAAAAGAGUCAUCCUGUGAGAAUCCCUGAAAAUGACUUUAAUGAAUAAUUUCAGAGACAGUUAUGACUUUGGGUGAUUACUGAGCAAGAAUAUGAAAACCAGAUUUGCAAAGCGAAGGCGAUGGUCAAAAGGCCUGGCAGUUACUUUCUCUCAUUAAAACCGCACCGGCUUUCCUUCUUCGCCAAGUACUAGUUACCAACUGAGGUUGCGUUUUCAGGUUUUCUUCUUCAAAAUAACAGUCUUCUUUUCCUGCUUUUCUGCCUUAUCCUAAAGACAAAAUGUCAGCUCCAGGGAACGACAUUAACAACCCACUUUAAAUUGAAGGCAACUCUGCACUGGCGUCAGUGGCCAUUGGCUUCCAUCUUUUUACAAAGGUUGGAUUUACUGCCAUCUUAGGAUCAUAUCUCUUUUGGCCUCUUCUCUAGGCAAUGUAUUUAAUGAAGGUUGAACAUUCUCACUGACCCUGAGUCAGUGCACUGUUUGUUGUAAAGGAUCUCAGCUGGUGGGGCAAAAAACAAGUUCCAAACAACCUGCCUUUACAGAAGAGUCUCCCUGACUCUUUAGUUCUAGGUCACCAAUGAACUGAAAAAUGAUUUGGUGCUACAUUAAGGAAUAUUUUCAAACACUCCAUCUGGCCAUGGAGAAGCAUCCAGUUGGUUAUAUCUGGUUGCUCAUGCAUUAAAAAUACUAUUUGAGAAAACAACUAGGGUGUUAGUUGUGGAAGUGGCCUGGUGAGUACCCUCUGAUCUUUUGCACGAAGUUUAGCUGCCUGCAAGUCUGUCUUCUUUGCUUGAAAAUAUAAACUGGGACUCUCUGGGCCUGUGUCCCAUGUGGAUUUAUUCCACUUAAUUCAAGUAAAAGUUUGUUUAUACUCUGAGCAAGAAAGUAUUAUAGGCACAAGUGAUGUGGAGUUUUCAGUUUGCUUGUUUUUUGCUGUUGUUUGUUUGCUUUUGAGCGAUCUGAGUGAUUUAGAAAACUAAUGUGUCUCAGUCGGCUCCACCAUUCAGACAGAUCAUAGAGAACCCACUUACCAGCACUCUAGAAAACUGUACUUUGUGCAGACAUUGCCUGAUCCUCCCCUUUCUAGAAGCACAGAUAGGCCAGAAUCCUUCAGUCACUGAGGACACAAUUGUCUAAAAGCCUCAUUCCCUAUCAUUAGCCCCCAAACCGCAGAGCUGUUUCCUUCCCUCUUGGCUCCAGAUAGGGGUGGGUGGGAGAGGGGACUAGGCUCUCCAUGUGACAUUUCCCUGACUUGAGAGGAAAUGUUUCUUUCUGAUUCUAGAUUACAUGAAGACACUUUGGAGUUGGUGUAUAGGGUUUCCUCAAAGAACUGAGGUAACGUGGACUUUAGGGAAUUUUCCUCAAUUGGAUUCCCUGUUUAUUUGUGAUACUAUUUGUGUCCCCCAAAUAGAUCUUCUUGUUGCUCCACUCACAUCAUGAGCAGUUUUCCUUUUCCUCUAGUUACAUUCACUCUAGCUUCUGACUGAAGACUCUGCUUGCCCUUUGUAGCCCGUGCAGGAAUAAACAGCAUCUUCUGGAUUUGCUUUGAAUCCUUGUGCUGCCCAAUGAGUCAGAGGUGUAGGGUUGAUCCAAUAAUAUGGCUAAUUCUCUCCCUGUAAAGACUUUAAAUAAUGUAGGCCUCUCUUCACCCAUCCCCCAUUCUCACCAUCCUGGACUUCACGCGGGUCAUGGAGAAGGUGUCCAGGGUGGGAGGCACGCUGGGUGGGUGUGGCCUCCUUUGGCACAGUGGUUCGGCAUCCUCUGGGGGAGAUUUUGAAAACUGCAGGCUCCGCGUCGAGCCCCUGACCUGCUGAAUCAGAAUUUCUGGUGAAGGUAGGGUGAAAACGGGGCUGAAUUUGUCAUUGUAUCAAGUUGUCCGGGGAGUGGAAAGUCCAGGUGUUGGAUUAAUCCCAGCACCCCUUACUUCAGAAGAGACCAGGCUAUCCCGCAGAACGCUAGGGUCAGAGGUCUGGGGCAUCAGUCAGCCCGUCCAGGAAUUAUGCAAAUAUAUGCAGCCUCUACUCUGAACACUGGGACGUAGUAGGGGACAAAGCUGCCGCCAGCCGUCCUCGUCCUUGCGAGGUGUCAGUGUUUGCGCCAGGGACAACUCCCUGGAGGGCUGGGGGAAGGGAGGGGCAAAAGAGGGUCCAGGGCCUCAGCUCGCUAUGUACUUUAGGGUUUAAUAACAGGUGCAAAGGCAGCUGCUAAAAGACAUCGCAUUCUGUAAUCAGCUUCUGCCAGGCUGUCCGGCUAAACAGAAACUCCCACAAUUUUGGCCCGAGGGCUGUAGGGCGGAGCGGGUGCCAGUGAGAUGAGGGCAACCCUAAGAGGUGGCAUAAGAGCCUUACCCCUAAGAGCCACCCCAACCCCAUCCGGGGCUUGCACCGGCACCGCCUGGGCCGCAGUUGUUGCCUCAGGGAAGCUUCGCCCUGGCGCAGGGAUAGAGCAAAGAAGCGACCGCAUGUGGAAGGCUUUCCAGGCGGAAUGCUCCAGCCGUAGCGAGUUGGAAAAUUUAGAGUGGGGAGGGGGCAGUAGAGAUGUUAACUGGCCCCUCCUCACCCCAAACAAGGAAAACACAGUCUUCUGGGCUAAAAAUACAUAUUUAUGAAGUCCCUAUACGCAGGCAGGCGGCGCGUUCCAGCUGCCGGCCUGGCCCAGGGAGGACUUGGCCGCGCGGCCGCCGAUUACACCCAACUCGGCUGGGAUGGCUCCGAGCCGUCUGCCCUGACGUCAGCGAGGCUCCGGCCCCGCCGCGGCAAGAUAGGCGAGCGCGGCCGGGCGCGGGUGCGGCACUAAUCACUCCCAGAUGUCCCUAAUAGCGGAGAUAAAGACGGACAGAGCGGCCGGGAAUAAAUUUGUAAUCAGGGCUCUACCAUCUGAUCAUCAAAGCGGCCCAAAUGCCGGGAGAAUUUGAAGGGAAUGCGUGUGAGGGGGGUCGCUUGGGGGAAGAGGUGAGGGUGCACUUCGCGAUGGGAACUGGCUUCGGUAGGGUAGAGCAGGGAGAACAGGGCGAGAGAUCUGUAAGUUCGGUGCACGUAAGUCGGAUACUCGGUGCUCUUUAACCUCCAUUAGCCCUCAGACCGAAGCCGUUUAGCGGUUCCAGGCUGAUUGGAGCUGCGCAGUUGCUGUGCGGGAAGCACGCGUUGCGCAGCGGCUGGGUGGUAAGGCGGCGCGAUGAGAACUGUCCGGCCCCCGGAAACGUGGGAUUGGUUUCCUCUCCCGGAGUUCUCCCCUCCCCCUUCUUUCUAAACAUUUAAAAAACACGUAGUCCGUCUCCCCCAACCCCCAUUCCCGGUAGACUUAAUCCCAACAGCAAUUCAUUGCACCGCGGAGCUUCCUCAGGGAGGGGGCUGUUGGAGCCUCCAACCAGGGUCCUGGGCCCCAGUCUGAGAAUGACUCCUGGGUUUUUCUCUCCAAGCGAUCCGCAGGCUCUGACAGGCCAGGAGUCGCGCGCGUCCGGGAGACUCCUUAGCGCCCCCUCCUCACGUGGAGAUCUGGACUCUCAGGAGCUGGGCCCAAUGGAAGGAAUGGGUACCCUUGGGUCACCAGGGUCCAGAUUCGGCCCUCUACGGCGCCCAUGCCACAAGCCUCCCUCAAGACCAUCUCUGCUUGGCACCCACUAGCCAGCUCCUUUUCCAAAUCUAGGAGCCUGGGUGGGACUCACAGGCAGGGAGAACUCAAGGCGGCUGUGGAAAACAAAAUCGCGUGCCGCCCGCGCAAUAUUUGAUUAAAGCUUCAGGGCUAACUGAGCGGUUUCUUGCGCUUUGCAGGCCCGCAGUGUAUGUUCAGUCCCAGUUUUCCUGGCACCCUUUGCCCUGCUUAUGUCCCCUGCACACACCUCAGGCCCUUGCAACUGGCCCGGGUUCUCUCUGCAAAUCUGUAGUCUGGGAAGGAACUCCCGGGUCUCGUACUCCCUGCCGCUUUGCAUUUGAGCUCUCACCUUCCUCACCCCUUCCUGCGAAUUCCAGGUGCGCUUACCUCUCUUGUUCUCCUGCUACUUCACCAAUCCGAGCGGGAGACUAGCUCUGCAAUUCACGCCAAGCUGGGGCAGCGGCUAGCAGAGUCUGGUCGAAGGAAUUGAACCACCUUCCACUCCCGACACACGCACAAGUGCUAAGAGGCCCCCAGGCUGCGCUCCCUGGCACGGCUGCUACGCUCACCUCAUCACGACCAAGCAGCCUGGUGCUCCUACACCUAAGGAGGCAACCCAGACCCAGAGGUCCACCCUUCCUAGAUGCCUGGGCCUGCUGGCUAACCCAUCCCGAAAGCUGGAGCUUGCUGUCUCGGCCUGGAAAAGCCCUUUAAGUUGCUGUCAGUGCCCAGGCAAUUGGGAGCGGGGCCCCCACUCUGCAGUUUUUCAAAUUGCUUCCCAAGCUGAGAAGGGGUUUGCGCGCGCGCACACACACACACACACACACACACACACACCGUCUACAACUGGCCAAGCCUUUGCCCCUCCGGUGCUCCAGGGUUAUCAGACGCUGGGCCUGCACAGCGGUCUGGGGCAGAGCCCUGACAGCCAGAUCUACCAUCAAUUUACCUUCCGCCGCCGCAGCUUCCCAUUUAGCUUUUAACGUCAAAUCCUACAUUUUUGUCGGCUCCGGCCUGUCUAGAACGCUUGUGAUUUCCCUGCAGGAGUGAUUGCUCUUAACAAAAUGGCAGCAACCACAUUAUCCGAGCAAUUAAAACAGAGGCCUUUUAGCCGGUCCCGCAAGUAGAGGCUUGGAAAAUUUUUUUAAACAAAGAAGAAAAAGUUAAAAGAGAAAUAAGUGUUGGAAGAGAAAAGCAUGGAAGCUCAGAAGAAACGUCUGCCCAGUACGCCUUUCACUUCCUGGGACUUGACAACCUGGGGCGGGGAUGUUGGGUGGCUGAGAGCGGCUGGGGUGACAGAUAAUCUGGGGUGUCCUGCAGGUUGAAGCAUCUGGUCAGUUGGGGUGUGCGUCUGGUUAGGGGGUUCAGCCGCCUGCAGUGUCAGGCAGCUGGGCAUUCUGCCGUCUGGGGUGUCCGGUCUGCUGGGUGUCUGGCUGGUUAGGGUUUCUGGCGAGUUGAAAUGGCAGGGCGGGUGGGGUGACCAGGCCUAGUGUUGCUGGCCCUGAGGAAGAGGAGGCAGGCUGUGCUUGGCCGGGGCCAAAGAGGAGCGCAGGUUUAAAAAGCAAGUGUAUUAGCAAGUUUCUCCGUAGCAAUGGUGCGCCAGGGUCUUUUGGUUUCCCUCUGUUGUUGUUUAAUAAGCCAGAGAAAGUGUUAAAUCUGCAGAAGUGCCUUAAGGCCCAGAUGGCGGAGACCAGCUACACAAGGUGCAGAGAAGCGUAGGUGCAUGGUGAAGAUAACUCCUCUCCGUUUCCUGUUUUUAAAACCUCACCUCCUCCGCCACUGUUUACUCCAACACUUUGGUAGGCUCCUUUCUUCCACGUCUAGGACCUGAUGGCUUUCUCCUGAGCAGAUUAAAAUAAAGACGCGGAAGACAACUGGAAUCAGGAGAGGGAGGGAACCACUGGAUCAAACGCAGGAGGAUUGGGAGAGCAACAGAAAAUCAGGGCGCGCCUCCCCCACACCUCCUCCCCAUGCUAUAAACAAAGCCUCCUCCCCCCUUCCCGCAGCCUGCACAGGCACUUUAGUUUCUCCGGUUUCUAGAGCUGAGAUUCAAGCUUCCGCCAAGGCUGCAGGCAAAGGAGGCCGCUGGGACUUUCUUCUGGGACGAGCUGGGACUCAGGGAGCCCAAAGACCCAACAGGGAGAGAUCCCGGGUCCCGUGCUGCCGGUAGUCCCGGAAGGGUGUCGCUUGUUUCGCUGGGCUGCGGCCGGGAAGACUUCAGACACCGCACAGUUAAUAUUGAGUUCCCUGUAACUCCUUGUAAAUCUAACCCGCCCCUCGCCCCUCUUUAAAUCCGUGGUCUUGUUCACGAUUUCUUACUUGACGUAAAAUUCCUUGUUACCUAAUCAUGGACUUUUUCGAAACUCCCUCCACCCCCCUUUCCCGCCUGCUCAGAUGAGAAGCCCCCGUAUAGAAUACAAGCAAAAUCCUCUCCUCUCUUUUCUUUUUCCUUUUUUUUUUCUUGGAUGAAAGCCCCAUAGUUUGAA
rnacentral:lncRNA from 10 species